UACGGAGGGUGCAAGCGUUAUCCGGAUUUACUGGGUUUAAAGGGUGUGUAGGCGGGCUUUUAAGUCAGUGGUGAAAUCUCCGGGCUCAACCUGGAACUGCCAUUGAUACUAUUAGUCUUGAAUUUUGUUGAGGUAGGCGGAAUAAGUCAUGUAGCGGUGAAAUGCAUAGAUAUGACUUAGAACACCAAUUGCGAAGGCAGCUUGCUAAACAAAUAUUGACGCUGAGGCACGAAAGCGUGGGGAUCAAACAGG
rnacentral:rRNA from 1 species